rnacentral:lncRNA from 1 species
AUUAUGCUCUGGCUUUGCUCUUAGUCCUCAUUCUCAACUUGGGUAGUUUGCUCACUUCUCUUGCUAACUCCUAUUGCCCACCACCGCAUGUCAAACCACCUCAUGCAAAGCCUCCUCCUCAUGUACCCACGAAACCACCUCAUGUUAAACCACCCAUUGUAAAGCCACCUCCCUAUCCGAAACCUCCUGUUCCCAAACCACCUCCCCAUCCCAAACCUCCUGUUGUGAAACCACCACCUGUUGUAGUGCCAAGCCCACCACCAACACCAACACCAACCCCAGUUGUCCCAGUGAAGC